GACGAACGCUGGCGGCGUGCCUAAUACAUGCAAGUUGAGCGCUGAAGGUUGGUACUUGUACCGACUGGAUGAGCAGCGAACGGGUGAGUAACGCGUGGGGAACCUGCCUUUGAGCGGGGGACAACAUUUGGAAACGAAUGCUAAUACCGCAUAAAAACUUUAAACACAAGUUUUAAGUUUGAAAGAUGCAAUUGCAUCACUCAAAGAUGAUCCCGCGUUGUAUUAGCUAGUUGGUGAGGUAAAGGCUCACCAAGGCGAUGAUACAUAGCCGACCUGAGAGGGUGAUCGGCCACAUUGGGACUGAGACACGGCCCAAACUCCUACGGGAGGCAGCAGUAGGGAAUCUUCGGCAAUGGACGAAAGUCUGACCGAGCAACGCCGCGUGAGUGAAGAAGGUUUUCGGAUCGUAAAACUCUGUUGGUAGAGAAGAACGUUGGUGAGAGUGGAAAGCUCAUCAAGUGACGGUAACUACCCAGAAAGGGACGGCUAACUACGUG
rnacentral:rRNA from 1 species